GUUCUCAGUUCGGACUGUAGGCUGCAACUCGCCUACACGAAGUCGGAAUCGCUAGUAAUCGCGGAUCAGCAUGCCGCGGUGAAUACGUUCCCGGGCCUUGUACACACCGCCGUCACACCAUGGGAGUUUGUAACGCCCAAAGUCGGUGGCCUAACCUUUAUGGAGGGAGCCGCCUAAGGCGGGACAGAUGACUGGGGUGAAGUCGUAACAAGGUACC
rnacentral:rRNA from 1 species